rnacentral:rRNA from 1 species
AGAGUUUGAUCCUGGCUCAUAACUAACGCUUUCGGCGUGCCUAACACGUGCAGGUCGAAGGAGAAAUCCCGGGCAACUGGGAGAGUAAAGUGGCGCACGGGUGAGUAACGCGUGGGUAAUCUACCCUUAAGUUGGGAAUAACACCUCGAAAGGGGUGCUAAUUCCGAAUAACGUCCCUGGGACCCAGGUCCCGAGGAUCAAAGAUGGCUGAGGCUUGCAAGCUAUCGCUUAAGGAUGAGCCCGCGUACCAUUAUCUAGUUGGUGGGGUAAUGGCCCACCAAGGCUAUGAUGGUUAGCUGGUCUGAGAGGAUGGCCAGCCACACUGGAACUGAGACACGGUCCAGACUCCUACGGGAGGCAGCAGUGAGGAAUCUUGCGCAAUGGGGGCAACCCUGACGCAGCAACGCCGCGUGAGUGAUGAAGGCCUUCGGGUCGUAAAGCUCUGUCAGAUGGGAAGAAAGUUUCGGGCGUGAAUAAUACCCGGAAUCGACGGUACCGUCAAAGGAAGCACCGGCUAACUCCGUGCCAGCAGCCGCGGUAAUACGGAGGGUGCAAGCGUUGUUCGGAAUCAUUGGGCGUAAAGAGCGUGUAGGCGGCCGGGUAAGUCAGAUGUGAAAUCCCUUGGCUUAACCAAGGAAGUGCAUUUGAAACUGCUCGGCUUGAGUACGGGAGGGGGAAGUGGAAUUCCCGGUGUAGAGGUGAAAUUCGUAGAUAUCGGGAGGAACACCGGUGGCGAAUGCGGCUUCCUGGACCGAUACUGACGCUGAGACGCGAAAGCGUGGGGGAGCAAACAGGAUUUAGAUACCCUUGGUAGUCCACGCCGUACACUUUUGGGCACUUGGUGUUGCGGGUAUUGACCCCUGCAGUGCCGAAGCUAACGCAUUAAGUUGCCCCGCCUGGGGAGUACGGCCGCAGGUUAAAACUCAAGAAUUUGACGGGGGCCCGCACAGCGUUGAGCAUUGUUGUUCAAUCGACGCAACGCGAGAGCUUACUGGGUUUUGACAUCCCGAG